rnacentral:rRNA from 1 species
UACGGAGGGGGCUAGCGUUGUUCGGAAUUACUGGGCGUAAAGAGUGUGUAGGCGGUUCUGCAAGUUUGGUGUGAAAUCUCCCGGCUUAACUGGGAGGGUGCGCCGAAAACUGCAAAGCUAGAGUUCUGGAGAGGGUCGUGGAAUUCCCGGUGUAGCGGUGAAAUGCGUAGAGAUCGGGAGGAACACCAGAGGCGAAGGCGGCGACCUGGACAGAUACUGACACUCAACUGCGAAAGCGUGGGGAGCAAACAGG